rnacentral:rRNA from 1 species
UGCGUAGGCGGAAUGAUAAGUUAGUGGUGAAAGCCCCCGGCUCAACCGGGGAACUGCCAUUAAUACUGUCAUUCUUGAGUAUAGUUGAAGUGGGCGGAAUGUAUCAUGUAGCGGUGAAAUGCUUAGAUAUGAUACAGAACACCGAUAGCGUAGGCAGCUUGCUAAACUAUAACUGACGCCCAGGCACGAAAGCGUGGGGAGCAAACAGGAUUAGAUACCCUGGUAGUCC